UUUCACCACUUUGUGUGUCCAAGGACCACCUACUUUUUACAUGUGACAAGAACUACCCACCUCCACUCUUCAGGAUAGAACAUGCUGAAGAAAAGAGUUGCAAUGAGAAAAUAUAUGGGAACAAAAUACCUGUGCAAUGCAGAGGUCUGCAUAACUGAACCACUCAGAGGAAAAAAUUUCCCUCCCAGGCUGGAGUACAAUGGCGCGACCUCGGCUCACUGCAACUUCCAUCUCCCAGGUUCAAGCAAUUCUCCCACCUCAGCCUCCUUACUAGCUGGGAUUACAAGCGCCUGACACCAGGCCCAGCUAUUUUUGUAUUUUUAGUAGAGACGGGGUUUCACCAUUUUGACUAGGCUGGUCUCAAACUCCUGACCUCAGUCCAUCGGUCCACCUCGGCCUCCCAAAGUGCUGGGAUUGCAGGCAUGAGCCACCGCUCCUGGCCUCAAGUUUAAUUCUUAAGUGCUCUUCUUCACUCUCUGGCUUGCUCACUUUCUGGGAAGACAUUUGUCAUACUGUGAGAUACCCUAUGAAAAGUCUAAAAUUGCAAGAAGUGAGAGGCUCCAGACAACAGCCAGAUUGCCAUUUCAGGACACCUCCUACAUCUGAAGAAAUAUGCAUUGAUCUUGCAGAACUUUUCUCCUCCAAAUAAAAGUCAGUAUGAUAA
rnacentral:lncRNA from 1 species